rnacentral:rRNA from 1 species
UACAGAGGUCCCAAGCGUUGUUCGGAUUCAUUGGGCGUAAAGGGUGUGUAGGUGGCGCCGUAAGUCGGGUGUGAAAUUUCGGAGCUUAACUCCGAAACUGCAUUCGAUACUGCGGUGCUUGAGGACUGGAGAGGAGACUGGAAUUCAUGGUGUAGCAGUGAAAUGCGUAGAGAUCAUGAGGAAGGCCAGUGGCGAAGGCGGGUCUCUGGACAGUUCCUGACACUGAGACACGAAGGCCAGGGGAGCAAACAGG